CAUCGGCGAACUGCUCAGUAACACGUGGACAACCUGCCCUUAGGACGGGGAUAAACCCGGGAAACUGGGUAUAAUACCCGAUAGGUCUCGAUUGCUGGAAUGCAUCGAGAUUUAAAGCUCCGGCGCCUAAGGAUGGGUCUGCGGCCUAUCAGGUAGUAGUGGGUGUAGCGUACCUACUAGCCUACGACGGGUACGGGUUGUGAGAGCAAGAGCCCGGAGAUGGAUUCUGAGACACGAAUCCAGGCCCUACGGGGUGCAGCAGGCGCGAAAACUUUACAAUGCCGGCAACGGCGAUAAGGGGACCUCGAGUGCCAGGUUACAAAUCUGGCUGUCGUGAUGCCUAAAAAGCAUUGCAUAGCAAGGGCCGGGCAAGACCGGUGCCAGCCGCCGCGGUAACACCGGCGGCUCGAGUGGUAACCGUUAUUAUUGGGUCUAAAGGGUCUGUAGCCGGCCGGAUAAGUCUCUUGAGAAAUCCAGCAGCUCAACUGUUGGGCUUUCAGGAGAUACUGUCUGGCUCGAGGCCGGGAGAGGUGAGAGGUACUUCAGGGGUAGGGGUGAAAUCUUGUAAUCCUUGAAGGACCACCAGUGGCGAAGGCGUCUCACCAGAACGGACCUGACGGCAAGGGACGAAAGCUAGGGGCACGAACCGGAUUAGAUACCCGGGUAGUCCUAGCCGUAAACGAUACUCGCUAGGUGUCGGCCACGGUGCGACCGUUGUCGGUGCCGUAGGGAAGCCGUGAAGCGAGCCACCUGGGAAGUACGGCCGCAAGGCUGAAACUUAAAGG
rnacentral:rRNA from 1 species